GUCGGUAAGGCAAUUCGUUCAGGUUUUAGUUUUCGGGCCUCUGCUUAUUCCAGGGGUUGCGGAUGAGUCUGUGCUCGUUGUCCCUGGUCGAUGAGCCAGCUGUGUCAUAGAGGUCGCUGCGAGGUUCGAUAUUCCCAUUGCGGUCAUCAGUGCCGGGCCCUCUGCGUGGUCGGUAGCUCUGUAGUGCUUGUCAUCUUUAGUGAUCCAGAGAGUUCCUGGUGUUGCCCAUCUAUAGGCUACUCCUGCGGCUUGGAGUUGUUUGGUGAUUGGUUGCAUACUUUUGCGCCACAUCAGUGUGGCCCUGCUCAAGUCCUGAAAGAAGGAGAGUUUGCUGUCUUCAAAGUCAAGAGGUGUUUUCCCUUGCAUAGCUGCCAUUAGCCCCAGUUUGUCCAACAUUGAUUGGCAUCUCAAUAUUAUGUCCCUUGGGGCUGAGUUGGGUGCUUGUGGGGAUUUGGCUAUCCUGUAAACCCCGUCGAACUGGAACGUUUUGGAUUGUCUAGUUGGCAGGAGUGUGGCCACAAGGCGUCUGAUGAAAUGUGGCAACUCUUCCAGCGGUAUUGAUU